CUUUGGGUGCUUCGGUUCUCUCUCUCCAUUAUCAGCUUUUCUUAUUUUGAUUGACCCCGGCUCUCCCCGUCUCCCUCUUCGCCUCACUCUUCUCUGCACAAGCUGCUCGAUUUAGAGCUUCACCAUAUCUCUUCGAAUCAAGGUGUCUAUUUCUCUCCCUAUUUUCCCAAUCUAGGUUUCCCUCUGUCUCUGUGGAAAAACCCUAGAUAUCGCCGCUGCCGGAGAGUCGAAGCUCCGCCCUUUGAGCUUCAAUCGGCCUUGCCCAUCGCCUCCUCGCGGCGCCUCCACCUAAAUCCCUCUGACAACUUGGUGGAGAUCAGAUAUCUGAUGUGUUUGAUCAGCAUCUCCAUGUUGCUUUGACGGAAAGCUCUGAUUGUUGCAGAGAUUGCAUUGUUUUUGGCUCAGAGGAAAAUUACAAUUGUCAAUUUGGAUGCUGCCAACGAUGCAUAACUGUAUCCUUUUCUCUAUUUUUUUGUGUUUUUUUCUCUUUCUAAUUUGCAGUAUUGCAUUGUAUUCCAAUGUAGAGUGUUGAGCCCUUAAUGAAUUUAGUUAUGAAUGUUUCGUGAACAUGGAGGAUCUUAUAAAACUCAGUCAUGUGAUGGUGGAGCGCUCUCUGGUCCCAAUGGAGUUUACUUAAACGAUGAGGAUGCAACUGUUGGGUUCGGUUCGGGAUGGUCACCCAGUCGUCCAACCUCAUUACCACAGCGGAAGAACGACGUCGACUUACCAUCAAAGCCGUCUAGCCUGCCCAACGCCCGUCUAGCCGCCGCCUAAUACCCUUUUCGAUUUCUUCAACGAUUUUGGUUUAAUGGCGGCGUAGGAGCUGCCUAGGCCGCGUUUUCGAACAUUGCUAGUGAGGCUUUACGUCCUAGGAAGAUAGAAUAGCUUCAUAUGUUUCAACUAAUCUCAUGCAUUUCAGCAAUCACAAUUAUGAGAGAAUUGUGGGGGUGACUUAAAUGUCAUUAAGAUAUAAUGAUAUUUACUUAAUACCAUGUAGAAUACCUAAAGGUGACAAUAUCUAAUUCUAAGAAGAAUUUGCUUCUAUGGGUAUGAGAUGGCUAAAUUCUCUAAAGCUCUCAUGAAUUCGAGAUUUGUUCAGGAUCAAAAUGAACACAACCGUAUAAACCGUUAUAUAUUAGGAUUAGUGAUGUGUGUUGCUUAUUGUCUCGGUUUAGCAGUUCAAGAUCUUCCACAUUCAUUCUGUCACUAAGUAAAUUCGACAAGUAUUCACUAGGGUAGGUUCAAAUCUAAAAGACACUUCUCCCGAUACAUUUCUUGUCCGCAUGUACUCUCAAAUUCUUCUAAUUUUUUUAUUUAUGUGAGGGAUUGUCAGAAAUUAUAUACUAUAAUAUAAAUAUAGUAAUAUAUAAUUUUUACAAUUAAAUAAAAAAUAAUGUCGAUCGCUUUCAAAGAAAGAUUAUGUCAUUUGUAUUUAAUUGGUGCCAUCCCUUGCUAAAACGUGUCAGAUGGUUUAAGACCAAUAGACACAUAAUUUAUCAAAGGGUGCCAUGAGUUUUAUAUAAACUCAAGCACUUCAUUAGAUCUACUCCAACCAUUGAAGUAAAACUCAAGUUUUAGGUUCUAAAUCUACCCUAACUUGCUCCAAUCCGUUUGGAGAUUCUACGGUUUCAGAUUUGGAAAAAAUAAACGGAUCGGGUAUUGGGAUGGCACUCCAAACAUGAUUUGCCCCGUUGCCAUCCCCAAUCUGAAACUUACAAAAUCUAAAGUGAUUGAUGAUGGGUCGAUAUUAAUUUAUAGUUUUGCUAAUUGCUUAAAACUUAUUUGUUAUUUGAGAUAAUAUUUUGGUUGUGGGAUAUAUAAAUUAGGGGUUUAGACAGUCAAGACGUCACGUUUUUAAAAGAAAGUUUCUUCCGAGAAGUUAAACAAAAUGCGAUAAAUUUUACCAAUAAUAAUAAUAAUAAUAAAAAGGGCAAAAGACAGUUUACUACCCUCAUGUUUAGUGG